AUGAAAGAGUUUUUUUAUCUCCGAGGGUUUCUCCACCGCCAACGGUGUUCAGAGAAUCGGCGAUGGUGGAGGAGUUGGGAGCAUAGACAGGCUGCCACGGGAAGUUCAAGUUUGGAAUUGGAAACUGCAAUCAAUAUUGGAGUUUGCUUCAAGGGUAUGAAGCAAAUAUGUAUCUCUACUACAAAUUCAGAUUCAGUAAUCAAUGAUGGGAAAGAGGCCAUCAAUACUUUGAGAAUAGAUAUGCAGGAGCUCAUUUCUGAGAAGAUAAAGAAAAAUGAAAGAUAUGUAUGA